rnacentral:lncRNA from 1 species
AUACAAAGCUUAUGCUAUGUGACUGUCGAGUGUAUUCGGUUCCCUAAUUUUAUGGAUGCUCUGACCAAUUUGGCAUGUCCUUGAGUGAUAAUAAAAUGAAAUGGUCGUGCGAUAAUGGUUAAAAUUUAAGAACUAGAAAACUGCACCAUUUCUGUGUGUCAAGUAACCAAAAAUCAUAUGCUCAAAUUUCCCAGAUAUCUGAUCUUUCGUUCCCGCCAUCAAUGUAUUAGCUCCAAUCUCUACAUCCUACGUACCUUCACCUACAAUUCCAACUCUUCUUGUUUACCCCAAACUCUCAAUUCCCUAGUUAAGAAAUGCUUAUCAAUGAGCCAUCUCAAAAUCCUCCACGCCCAAAUCAUCCUCCAGGGCCUCAAUAACUGCGCUCUAACUGUCAGCAAACUCAUUUCCUUCUCUGCCCUUGCUCCAUCAGGUGACCUACAAUAUGCACGCUUCCUGUUUGACAAAACUCCUGAACCGAAUCGGCACAUGUAUAACACCUUAAUUAGGGCCUAUGCGAAUGGUGAACACCCAGAAAAUGCUAUCUUGCUUUACCAACAAAUGGUUUGUUCUGGUAUUUUCCCAAACGAAUUUACUUUCCCUUUUAUGCUCAAAGCGUGCGCGACUCUUCAGGCGUACCGAGAAGGGGUUUUAGUUCUUGUUCAUGUGAUGAAGUUGGGGUUUUUUGAGUCUCAUAUUUGCGUGCAGAAUGGGCUUAUAAAUUUUUAUGUUGGCUGUGGAAUGGUUGAUUGUGCCCAAAAAAUCUUUGAUGGUGUUGCGGAUAGGACUAUAGUUUCCUGGAACUCAUUGAUCCAUGGGUAUUCAAAGAUGGGUUGUUGGAAACAAGCUCUGUUACUGUUCUGUGAGAUGAGAGAAGGAGGGUUCGAACCGGAUGACCGUACCUUAGUUAGUUUGCUCUCAGUUUGUUCGGGAAACUAUGAUCUCAAGUUAGGGAGGUUUCUUCAUUGGUAUAUGGAAAUUACUGGGGUUCAUUUUGAUGUUUAUGUGCACAAUGCACUUCUGGACAUGUAUGCCAAGUGUGGACAUUUGCAGACAGCUGGAGCUGUUUUCAAUCGAAUUAUUGAUAAAAAUGUCGUUUCCUGGACUUCCAUGAUUAGUGCAUAUGCCAAACACGGAUUCGUGGAAUUAGCUAAGAAUGUUUUUGAUCAAAUGCCUGUGAAAAAUGUGGUUUCUUGGAAUUCUAUGAUUUCCUGUUUUCUCCACAAUGGUUACUAUAGAGAAGCUCCGGAUGUUUUUUCCAAAAUGUGUAAUUCUGGAACGCUUCCUGAUGAAACUACUAUAAUUAGUGUUCUUUCAGCCUGUAGUCAACUUGGUGAUUUAGCGACAGGAUGGAAAUUCCAUAGCUAUGUCCAUGAUAAUAUUAUGAAACCUACUGUUACUUUGUACAAUGCACUUAUAGACAUGUAUGCAAAAUGUGGUUCCACGGAGAAGGCACUAGAUGUCUUCCUUGAGAUGCCGGAGAAGAAUAUUGUCACGUGGAAUACUAUAAUUAGUGCCCUCGCAUUGCAUGGUUGUGGAUUUAAAGCCAUUGAACUUUUCGAAGAGAUGGAAGCUGAAGGGGUACAUCCUGAUGCAAUCACCUUCACUGGCUUGCUUUCGGCUUGUUGUCAUGGUGGUUUCAUUGAUGUUGGAAGAUUCUUUUUCCACAAAAUGAUUCACAUUUACAAAAUACCCCAUGAUACUGAGCACUAUGCCUGCAUGGUUGAUAUUCUCGGUCGUGGAGGGCUUUUGGAAGAGGCGCUUCAGCUGGUUGGAAAAAUGCCAAUGAAGCCAGACAUAGUUAUCUGGGGUACUUUGCUCGGUGCUUGUAGAACUCAUAGAAAUGUGGAAAUAGCAAAACUCGUCUUAAAGCAGCUACUGGAGUUGGAAACAUAUAGUGGAGGGCUGUAUGUGCUCAUGUCAAACAUAUUCUGUGAAGCUGGAAGAUGGGAAGACAUGAAAAAGACGAGGAAACUAAUGAAGGAUCAUGGUGUCAGAAAGAGUGAUGCAGUUAGCUCUAUUGAAAUUGGAGGCAGCAUUUCUGACUUCAUGGUUGAAGACAAGAGACGUGAAGCUUCUGAUGUAAUUUACACCGUGCUCAAUCAGUUGACAGACCAAUUAAAGUCUCGAUGCAGUCUUACGAGGGAAUUCUUAGAGGCCAAGGAAAUUUGGAGCUUUGAAGAAAAUGAAGGUACAUCUAUGCCUAGUGUGGUUGUACAUUCUUUGUAAGAAAACCCAAGAUAAAUCUCACAUAUUUGAAGUGACUUCCCUAAUGCUACUUCAAGUUUUACGGCAGAAACUUUUAAGUAGUGUGGCAAUGGGACUCUGUAGCUUGAUCUUUUCCAACCUUAAGAGAAAACCUUUCGCGCUGAAUCAUAUGGUUCUACAUCAUCAGAAGUGGGAUCCCUUCUUAGUCCAAUUAAUCCCUAACUCAGAUACUAGUGAUACUAUGAAACACAGUUUUAUAAGUCCUUGAAUUGGAUGAAACUGAAGUUCAAGGCGUCCGAUAAAGAAGAUGGAAUUAGAGACUUAGCUUGAGGAAAGUUCUUCUAUUUUGAUCACUUCAUUUACCGUCAAUUUCAUAGACCAAGGCUUUGAGGUAAUGGAUUGCUUCAGUCAUUAACUUGCAGAAAGCGUGCUUGCUGUUCCUACAAAACAUGCAAUUGAGUUAAUUUCACAUUUUUGCAAACCGCCCUAUGGUUGGCUACACUGCUUUGGCAGCUCAAACAUUGGCUUCACUGCUUUGGCAGAUUAGUUGUCAAACUUGAUUGUACAACUAGCAUGGUCAGAGGCGGAACCAGACGACAAACUUGAUUGUACAACUAGCAUGGUCAGAGGCGGAACCAGACGACUUGGUUUAGGGGAUUAGAAAUAAAAAUUAUAGGUAUCUUCUAAUUAAAAAAAAAAAAAGGCUAAACAAAUUUUUUGUUUUUCUCCAAAAU